rnacentral:other from 2 species
CGUCCUCUGCUGUGAACGACAGCGCGCGCAAACAUUCGCCUUGUCCCUUAAUGACGACCACGGGAUGGCAACGGUAGCCGGGAGUGCAGGUCCGCCUUCGCAGCGGGAAGCCCGAUGGAUAUCCAGCCUUCCCACUUGAACCCCGGGUUCAAGGUCGUUUCGCGAGCAUCGCCAUGGCGGAGGACGU